rnacentral:lncRNA from 1 species
AGUAAACAACUCUGGAUAAGACUCCAGCAUCUUACUCUCAAGCUCCCACGUCAAGCUUUCACCAGUCGCUCCCGACCAAACGACUCUCACGAGAGGUAUCUCCUUGCCUCUCAACGUCUUCACUUUACGAUCAUCAAUCCUCAACGGUAAAGUUUCUACCGUAAGGUUGUCUCUAACUUGCACAUCGUCACUUUGAAUUACAUGAGAUGGAUCCGGAACAUACUUUUGAAGUUGCGACACAUGGAAAACGUUGUGCAAAUUCGCAAGAUGCGGCGGUAAACCCACUCGGUAAGCCACCGUUCCAACUCUUUCCAAUAUCUGAUACGGACCAAUGAACUUCGGGGUCAACUUCUUUGACUUCAAAGCACGUCCU